UCCGGUGGCGAUAGCAGAGAGGAAACACCCGUUCCCAUUCCGAACACGGAAGUUAAGCUCUCUGACGCCGAUGGUACUGCACGGGCGACCGUGUGGGAGAGUAGGUGCUGCCGGAA
rnacentral:rRNA from 1 species